CCUACGGGAGGCAGCAGUGGGGAAUUUUGGACAAUGGGCGCAAGCCUGAUCCAGCCAUUCCGCGUGAGUGAAGAAGGCCUUCGGGUUGUAAAGCUCUUUCGCAAGGGAAGAAAACUUAGGCUCUAACAUAGCCUGAGGUUGACGGUACCCUGAUAAGAAGCACCGNAU
rnacentral:rRNA from 1 species